rnacentral:rRNA from 1 species
UGCCCAGACUCCUACGGGAGGCAGCAGUGGGGAAUAUUGCACAAUGGGGGAAACCCUGAUGCAGCGACGCCGCGUGAGUGAAGAAGUAUUUCGGUAUGUAAAGCUCUAUCAGCAGGAACGAGACAAGACGGUACCUGACUAAGAAGCCCCGGCUAACUACGUGCCAGCAGCCGCGGUAAUACGUAGGGGGCAAGCGUUAUCCGGAUUUACUGGGUGUAAAGGGAGCGUAGACGGUUAUGUAAGUCUGGAGUGAAAGCCCGGGGCCCAACCCCGGGACUGCUUUGGAAACUGUGUAACUGGAGUACAGGAGGGGCAGGCGGAAUUCCUGGUGUAGCGGUGAAAUGCGUAGAUAUCAGGAGGAACACCGGCGGCGAAGGCGGCCUGCUGGACUGAAACUGACGUUGAGGCUCGAAAGCGUGGGGAGCAAACAGGAUUAGAUACCCCCGUAU